AGUGAACGCUGGCGGUAGGCCUAACACAUGCGAGUCGAACGGCAGCACAGUAAGAGCUUGCUCUUACGGGUGGCGAGUGGCGGACGGGUGAGGAAUACAUCGGAAUCUACUUUUUCGUGGGGGAUAACGUAGGGAAACUUACGCUAAUACCGCAUACGACCUACGGGUGAAAGCAGGGGAUCUUCGGACCUUGCGCGAUUGAAUGAGCCGAUGUCGGAUUAGCUAGUUGGCGGGGUAAAGGCCCACCAAGGCGACGAUCAGUAGCUGGUCUGAGAGGAUGAUCAGCCACACUGGAACUGAGACACGGUCCAGACUCCUACGGGAGGCAGCAGUGGGGAAUAUUGGACAAUGGGCGCAAGCCUGAUCCAGCCAUACCGCGUGGGUGAAGAAGGCCUUCGGGUUGUAAAGCCCUUUUGUUGGGAAAGAAAAGCAGCAGGUUAAUACCCCGCUGUUCUGACGGUACCCAAAGAAUAAGCACCGGCUAACUUCGUG
rnacentral:rRNA from 1 species